CCAGACUCAGGGAGUUGUGACUCCAACCCCGAGUCCCUGGGAAGAAGAAUGAGACUGACUUGGGGCUCUGACAGAACCAGGGUAUUCGUUCUAAGACUCCGGUGGAUCCUGAAACCUUGAACAGGAAUCCUACAAAACUGUUUUUUCUUCUACAUACAUACCUAUGCUAAAUUUUAAUUUGUAAAUUUAGUAUAUCAACAGAUAAGCAAUAACAAUAAUAAUGUGCAGCAAUAAAAG
rnacentral:lncRNA from 1 species